AGCUCCAGUAGCGUAUAUUAAUACUGUUGCAGUUAAAAGGCUCGUAGUCGAACUUUUGGAAAUGUUUUUUGGAGCCAUGUGUCUAGUACACAUUGAGUUGCAUAAGUUUUCAUCCUUUUGGAAAUUGUUUCUGCUCUUGAUUGAGUUAGUUUUGAAUUCCAGAUCAUUUACUGUGAGUUAAUCAAAGUGUUCAAAGCGGAUGGAAGUCCAGAAUGCUGCAGCAUGGAAUAAUACUAUAGAACUUGGUUUUUAUUUGUUGGCUUCUAGAAUCGAAGUAAUGAUUGAAAGAGGUGGUUGGGGGUGCUAGUAUUUAACGGUCAGCGGUGAAAUGCAUAGACCCGUUAAAGACUCACUAAAGCGAAAGCAUUCACCAAGGAUAUUUUCUUUGAUCAAGAACGAA
rnacentral:rRNA from 1 species